rnacentral:tRNA from 1 species
CGCGGGGUAGAGCAGUUUGGUAGCUCGUCAGGCUCAUAACCUGAAGGUCGUUGGUUCAAAUCCAGCCCCCGCACCCA